UUGCAGGGGAAUUAUUUAUGUUUGUUCCUUUAUUUAAAAAAUAUGUAGUUUGUUUGAGUUUAUUAAUAAUAUGUUUCCUUCUUUUGUGGUUCGUUUGAGUUAUUUUAGGAAAACAAUGAAUAAGUGGAAAAGACAAUCAUUUUUAAUGUAAGACUAAUUUAAUUCUCAAUGGCAGUUGACUGUAAAUAUUGUGUAACUUUUAUGGUUAUUCUAUAAGUGUACUUCUGUUUUAAUAAAGUGGAUUGAGAUCCAAAAGCGAUGCAUCAAAUGCAUUUUUUAUUUGAACUUCACCUAAGAUAUUGAUAGUUAAAAACAAUUAUAAAAUCGCAUAAAUGUUUGAUAUUAAAAAAAAAAAUUAAAUAUUUUCAUACCUCCAAAUUCACUGAUUUUAGCAAAUCUUAUCAAGCAAACAAUGUCUUCACCAAC
rnacentral:lncRNA from 1 species